rnacentral:misc_RNA from 1 species
GAUGAAGAACGUAGCGAAAUGCGAUAAGUAAUGUGAAUUGCAGAAUUCAGUGAAUCAUCGAAUCUUUGAACGCGCAUUGCGCCCGCCAGUAUUCUGGCGGGCAUGCCUGUUCGAGCGUCAUUUCAACCAUCAAGCCCCCGGGCUUGUGUUGGGGACCUGCGGCUGCCGCAGGCCCUGAAAAGCAGUGGCGGGCUCGCUGUCACACCGAGCGUAGUAGCAUACAUCUCGCUCUGGGCGUGCUGCGGGUUCCGGCCGUUAAACCACCUUUUAACCCAAGGUUGACCUCGGAUCAGGUAGGAAGACCCGCUGAACUUAAGCAUAUCAAUAAGCGGAGGA